rnacentral:rRNA from 1 species
UGGCGGACGGGUGAGUAACGCGUAAAGAACUUGCCCUUUAGACUGGGAUAACAGAGGGAAACUUCUGAUAAUACUGGAUAAGUUAGUAUAUCGCAUGAUAUACAAAUGAAAGCUACGGCACUAAAGGAGAGCUUUGCGUCCUAUUAGCUGGUUGGUAAGGUAAGAGCUUACCAAGGCGAUGAUAGGUAGCCGGCCUGAGAGGGUGGACGGCCACAAGGGGACUGAGAUACGGCCCUUACUCCUACGGGAGGCAGCAGCG